UCAAACUUGGUCAUUUAGAGGAAGUAAAAGUCGUAACAAGGUUUCCGUAGGUGAACCUGCGGAAGGAUCAUUAUUGAAUAUCUUGCCUUGAUGGGUUGUAGCUGGCCUCUUGAGGCAUGUGCACACCUGUCUUGACUCUAUUCAUCCACCUGUGCAUCUAUUGUAGUCCUUUGCUCUUGGUAGGUCAAGGAAAGCAGACGUUUAUUCAGUUGAGACAUACUGGUUUUGAGAAUUGCCUUUUCUGGCUAUCUCUUAUUCUGCAGAACUGUGCCUGCUAAAGAUAACAAGGGGCUAUGUUUCUUAUCAUAAACCUUGUAUGUUGUCAGAAUGUUAUUCAAUGGGCUAUUUAGGCCUAUAAAAAUCUAUACAACUUUCAGCAACGGAUCUCUUGGCUCUCGCAUCGAUGAAGAACGCAGC
rnacentral:misc_RNA from 1 species